rnacentral:lncRNA from 1 species
CCAACUUAUUGAAACUGUCUUGGAGUAAAAACCUGAAAACUCAAUCCCAUCCUUUCCUAUGCAGUAUGGGAUCUUGUUAAGUACAAUUCAGUGGCGGAUCCAGAAAUUUUCAUAAGUGGGGGCCCACUGACUGACCUAAGAGGGGGCCCACUCCAGUCACGUUUCAGUGAUUCCCUAUAUAAGCAACCAAAUUUUUUCCCAAAAAGGGGGGGGCCCCUCCCUAAAUCCGCCUCUGCAAUUUCAGAGAGAUUUGUACAUGUUAAACACAAGUUACUGUCUGGACACUGGCAACAUGCUUCUUUUUGGGCCUUUUUUGGCCCCUAAUUCCAACAUACUUCAAGCAAUUAACCAAAAACUCCAUCUUAGCCUCUCCUUUGUUAUAUAGAACAUUUAGGUACAAUUUAAGAGAGAUCCAUACCAUAACACACAAAUUGUUGUCUGGAAACUAUAAAAAUGCUUGUUUUUGGCCCUCUAUACCUAAACUUUGGCCUUAUAACCCCUAAAAUGAAUCCAAAUAUUCUACUUGUUGUUUUAAACAUUGUGGUCAACUUUAGAGCAAUUGAAAUACAAGUUAUUAUCCUGACCGCCUAAUAUGACUGAUGGUAAUGAAAGUAUUAACAGCUACCAGAAUAAUACAAUUAUUAAUAUACUCACAAAAUUACAACAAAAGAAAAAUAUAAAUAUUACCAAGAAGUGCUUAAAACAAAUUAGAAAUCUUUCAAAUUUUUUAUAGUAUAACUAAUCGCCGUAUUUGAAUAUCAAAAAUAAGACAACGCCUGACCAAACGAUGCAUGGAUUAAACGAGUGCUCAGCACAAGUUUAAUCCAUAGCGGCGUUCGGUCACAAGUUGUCUUAUUUUUGAUAUUCAAAUACGUCGAUUAGUUAUUCUUUUUAUUACAUUGGCAAAUGGCUUUUUUUUUAUGAAAUUAAUGUAGAAAAUGUAAGGAACUAUAUCUUUUUCCUACGCAUUGACAAUUUAAUUUGAUCCGACGUUAUCGAAGUCUUGACAACGCCUAUUGUUGUAUGACGUCAGAGAGUGAAAUAACCACGUUUAUUUCAUGUGAAUUAUCGGUUUUUAUCUAACUGGGAAAUCAAUGUAAUUCAUUGCAACCAAUGUAAUAAUUAAAUUUUUCUACACAUGUAGUACCUUAAAUCAAUUUCACAGCUACAUUAGAACAAAAACUUCUAUAUAGAUUAUUCUACUAUACAACAAUAAUGUAUAAAUGAUAACUGUUGAUUAAGAAAGCCAUACAACAUGUCAGUAUCUUGCAAUUAUAAAAA